rnacentral:tRNA from 1 species
UGAGGUGUGGCUCAAGUGGUAGAGCACUUGCCUUGCCAAGUAUAAGACCCUGAGUUCAAACCUCAGUACCACCA